rfam:Stegodyphus mimosarum contig15615, whole genome shotgun sequence.
GCCUUCGUGGUUUAACGGUAACGCACUCGGCAUGUAUUCGAGAGAUUCAGGUUCGAGUCCCGGCGAGGGCA